UGGUUAGGAGUUAGGGUUAGGGUUAGGAUUCAGGCUUACGGUUAGCGGUUAGGGAUAGGCGUAAGCGACUCACUAAACUCGUUAGUGGAGUAGGCGAGGUACCGGUCCGGCAUAAUAACUAUAGUACCGCCAAGGGACUCCGGACU